rnacentral:rRNA from 1 species
UAAGGAAUAUUGGUCAAUGGACGCAAGUCUGAACCAGCCAUGCCGCGUGGAGGAUUAAGGCCCUCUGGGUUGUAAACUCCUUUUAUCUGGGAAGAAAUGUACUUUUUCUUGAGUACUUGACGGUACCAGAGGAAUAAGCACCGGCUAACUCCGUGCCAGCAGCCGCGGUAAUACGGAGGGGGCAAGCGUUAUCCGGAUUCACUGGGUUUAAAGGGUGCGUAGGUGGGCAGGUAAGUCAGUGGUGAAAUCUCCGGGCUUAACCCGGAAACUGCCGUUGAUACUAAUUGUCUUGAAUAUUGUGGAGGUAAGCGGAAUAUGUCAUGUAGCGGUGAAAUGCUUAGAUAUGACAUAGAACACCAAUUGCGAAGGCAGCUUCCUACACAAUCAUUGACGCUGAGGCACGAAAGCGUGGGG